GUAAGCAUGUAUGCGUAUGCUUGGCAUUUUACCUUUGAUUUCAUUUUGUACUUGCUAAACUUGUUCAUUUGCUAAUACAGAGAGGGACCGUCUAAAAGUAUUGUGCAAGAUAUAGAUCAUGCACUCAUCAUAUCUAAGUGAUCGGAGUGAUAUUGAUUGGCUUAUUAGAUGGAUAUUGGCCCAGUUUAUCUUUCAUUUUUUCUAUAGCUGUUAGAAAUUUACUUUGCUCAUAGUUCAUACUAUAAUUAAUAUGAGACUCUUGUUUUGUGGUCCAAGUGUUCAGCGCUCAGGGUGCCUUGGAAGUACGCUAGCUUGUUGUCAUGAAGAAGUCAUUCAAGUUCCUUCCACUGAAGUUGGUGCAUAAGGCUGCAACACCAUCUAGUGGAGGGUGUUCUGGACAAAGAAAGCUUGUACCUUAAAACAGGAGGAUACAAGAAGCUGGAGUGGUUGUCUGAAGCCUUUUUAACUGCUUGAAGCAUUAGUGUAGCUUUGGUGCUUUUGUGACUGAUCAGCUCUGGAGAAGCUAGAGUGAUAUAGUUGUGGGCUUUUGAACAAUAGUUGGAGUGAUAUGAAACAUUAGUGAUCUAGUUGUGAAUGAUAUUAUGAUUGUGAUGCUUUUGUGAAUAUAUAAUUGUGGUGCUUUUGUGUUUAUGUGAUAGAUCUAUGACUGUGGUAUACUGAUUAACUGUGUAUGU